GACGAACGCUGGCGGCGUGCCUAAUACAUGCAAGUAGAACGCUGAAGGAGGAGCUUGCUUCUCUGGAUGAGUUGCGAACGGGUGAGUAACGCGUAGGUAACCUGCCUGGUAGCGGGGGAUAACUAUUGGAAACGAUAGCUAAUACCGCAUAAGAGUAGAUGUUGCAUGACAUUUGCUGAAAAGGUGCAAUUGCAUCACUACCAGAUGGACCUGCGUUGUAUUAGCAUGUUGGUGGGGUAACGGCUCACCUAGGCGAGGAUACAGAGCCGACCGGAGAGGGGGGGUGGCCAGCCUGGGAGGGUGACAGGGCCCAGAGGCCUUCAGGAGGGAGCAGUAGUGAAACGUCGGGAAUGGGCGGAAGACUGAGCGAGCUACGCCGAGUGAGGGAAGAAGGUUGUCGGGUCGGAAAGCACGGUUGUAAGGGAGGAACGAGCGUUAGAGUGGAAAGUUCACACUGUGACGGUAUCUUACAAGAAAGCGACGGCUAACUACGUG
rnacentral:rRNA from 1 species